rnacentral:rRNA from 1 species
AUUGAACGCUGGCGGAAUGCUUUACACAUGCAAGUCGAGCGGCAGCGCGGCCUUCGGGCUGGCGGCGAGCGGCGAACGGGUGAGUAAUGCAUCGGAACAUGCCCAGUCGUGGGGGAUAAUACUUCGAAAGAAGUGCUAAUACCGCAUACGUCCUGAGGGGGAAAGCGGGGGAUCGCAAGACCUCGCGCGAUUGGAGUGGCCGAUGUCAGAUUAGCUAGUUGGUGGGGUAAAGGCCUACCAAGGCGACGAUCUGUAGCUGGUCUGAGAGGAUGAUCAGCCACACUGGGACUGAGACACGGCCCAGACUCCUACGGGAGGCAGCAGUGGGGAAUUUUGGACAAUGGGGGCAACCCUGAUCCAGCCAUUCCGCGUGAGUGAAGAAGGCCUUCGGGUUGUAAAGCUCUUUCGGCAGGAACGAAACGGUGGGCUCUAACAUAGUCCGCUAAUGACGGUACCUGAAGAAGAAGCACCGGCUAACUACGUG